rnacentral:rRNA from 1 species
AUCAUGGCUCAGGAUAAACGCUGGCGGCGCACAUAAGACAUGCAAGUCGAACGAACUUAACUCAUUCUUUACGAUUGAGAGCGGUUAGUGGCGGACUGGUGAGUAACACGUAAGCAACCUGCCUAUUAGAGGGGGAAUAACAGUGAGAAAUCAUUGCUAAUACCGCAUAUGCUCACAGCAACACAUGUUGCAGUGAGGAAAGGAGCAAUCCGCUAAUAGAUGGGCUUGCGUCUGAUUAGCUAGUUGGUGGGGUAACGGCCUACCAAGGCGACGAUCAGUAGCCGGACUGAGAGGUUGAACGGCCACAUUGGGACUGAGAUACGGCCCAGACUCCUACGGGAGGCAGCAGUCGGGAAUAUUGCACAAUGGGGGAAACCCUGAUGCAGCGACGCCGCGUAAAGGAAGAAGGUCUUCGGAUUGUAAACUUUUGUCGACAGGGAAGAAUAAAAUGACAGUACCUGUGGAGGAAGCCCCGGCUAACUACGUG